UACGUAUGGUGCAAGCGUUAUCCGGAUUUAUUGGGUUUAAAGGGUGCGUAGGCUGUGAGGUAAGUCAGCGGUGAAAUGCCCCCGCUCAACGGGGUGAAGUGCCAUUGAUACUGCCUUGCUGGAAUGCGGAUGCCGUGGGAGGAAUGUGUGGUGUAGCGGUGAAAUGCAUAGAUAUCACACAGAACACCGAUUGCGAAGGCAUCUCACGAAUCCGCGAUUGACGCUGAUGCACGAAAGCGUGGGUAUCAAACAGG
rnacentral:rRNA from 1 species